UUUCAGAGCCAUACUUCCUGCUGCGAGGUCAUUAGCAGUGCGUCCAUCCACAGCAAAGUGUUUUGCCACAGGAUGAAAAGCAUCUGGUCCCACCCCUGGAUAUGAUCGACCUUCAUAUACGGUGUAUUAUACAUGUAGCCAUCUCUGCGACCUGCAAAGAUGAAAAGGGAAAGCAGGAGGUGGAAACUGGUCAGGAGCCUUCUGGU
rnacentral:lncRNA from 1 species